GUGCACCAGAUACGAGCCUGACAGUCCACCUUGUGUUUUCUAUGGCUGCACGGCUUCAAACGGUGCAAGAGCAGCAUUAGCCCUGAGGUUUAAGCUUUUCAGUGGGAAGCAUCACUGAUGAGUUAUGACUCAGAGGCACAAGA
rnacentral:snoRNA from 1 species